rnacentral:rRNA from 1 species
AUACGGAGGAUGCAAGCGUUAUCCGGAUUUAUUGGGUUUAAAGGGUGCGUAGGCGGGACUGUAAGUCAGGGGUGAAAUACUGCAGCUUAACUGUAGCAUUGCCUUUGAAACUGCCGUUCUUGAGUACAGUUGAGGUAGGCGGAAUGUGGUGUGUAGCGGUGAAAUGCAUAGAUAUACCACAGAACGCCGAUUGCGAAGGCAGCUUACUAAGCUGUUACUGACGCUGAGGCACGAAAGCGUGGGGAUCAAACAGGAUUAGAUACCCUGGUAGUCCACGCUGUAAACGAUGAUGACUAACCGUCGGCGAUAGACCGCCGGUGGCCAAGCGAAAGCGAUAAGUCAUCCACCUGGGGAGUACGACCGCAAGGUUGAAACUUAAAGGAAUUGGCGGGG